rnacentral:rRNA from 1 species
GGACGAACGCUGGCGGUAUGCUUAACACAUGCAAGUCGAACGAGAAGGAAGAGCUUGCUCUUCCUGAAAGUGGCGAACGGGUGAGUAACGCGUGGGUAACCUACCCUUUGGAAAGGAAUAGCCUCGGGAAACUGGGAAUAAUGCCUUAUAAGAUACGUUUGUCGCAUGGUAUUUGUAUUAAACGCUCCGGCGCCAUAGGAUGGACCCGCGUCCCAUUAGCUAGUUGGUGAGAUAACAGCUCACCAAGGCCACGAUGGGUAACCGGUCUGAGAGGGCGAACGGUCACACUGGAACUGAGACACGGUCCAGACUCCUACGGGAGGCAGCAGUGGGGAAUAUUGCGCAAUGGGGGCAACCCUGACGCAGCAAUACCGCGUGAGUGAAGAAGGUUUUCGGAUCGUAAAGCUCUGUUAUUGGGGAAGAAAAAAAGACGGUACCCAAGAAGAAAGUUCCGGCUAACUACGUGCCAGCAGCCGCGGUAAUACGUAGGGAACAAGCGUUGUCCGGAUUUACUGGGCGUAAAGGGCACGCAGGCGGUUUUUUAAGUCAGAUGUGAAAGGCCACAGCUCAACUGUGGACAUGCAUUUGAAACUGAAAGACUUGAGUAUUGGAGAGGCAAGUGGAAUUCCUAGUGUAGCGGUGAAAUGCGUAGAUAUUAGGAGGAACACCGGUGGCGAAGGCGGCUUGCUGGACAAAUACUGACGCUGA